rnacentral:rRNA from 1 species
UACGGGGGGGGCAAGCGUUGUUCGGAAUUACUGGGCGUAAAGGGCCAGUAGGCGGCCAACUAAGUCCGACGUGAAAUCCCAAGGCUUAACCUUGGAACUGCGUCGGAUACUGGAUGGCUUGAAUUCGGGAGAGGGAUGCAGAAUUCCAGGUGUAGCGGUGAAAUGCGUAGAUAUCUGGAGGAAUACCGGUGGCGAAGGCGGCAUCCUGGACCAUUACUGACGCUGAGGCGCGAAAGCUAGGGGAGCAAACGGG